rnacentral:lncRNA from 1 species
AAGUUAAAUAUGCUGCUUUUGCUUGCUUUUCAACAUUUCUCAUGGGGAGUUCAGAUUUCUAAUCUGUGCAAUCCAUUUUAAUUUGAAAAAAAUCAGGGUGACCCAGGACCAAUGGGAUUACCGGGUCUAGAAGGACUCCCAGGGGAAAAGGGUGACCGUGGACCAGCUGGCAUACCGGGAGUAGCAGGGAUACCAGGAAAGCCAGGAUCCCCAGGGUCCCCAGGGUUGCCAGGAGAACCUGGUGAAAGAGGACCUAUAGGAGAUACAGGCUUCCCUGGGCCAGAAGGACCACAAGGAAAACCAGUAAGUAAUUUUUAUCUACAUUCAUUAAGAAAACAUGCAUCUUAGUUUACAAGAAGUUUCAAAAGAAAUUAGAUUACAUCCUGCUUUGUAUUGGACUCAAUAACUUCUGAAGAGCAUUCUAGAGUUACAGCGCUCAAUAUAACCAUCUAGUCAAGAAUUCUUUUUAUAUGGAGUGUGAUGUCUUGAUGUUUUAAUAGCUGUUGUUACUGAGACCCUUCUGAGGUAACUGAGAUUGUUUUGAAUGUCACUUGGAUCCUGUUGACUUUAAGUCCUUUAGUAGUAGUAGGCUCCUUUAGUAGUUUUUCAGAGUAGGAAUAUUAACCCAGGUGCUCAGCACAGUCUAUAAAGUAUAGGGCAACAAAAUGCAUUCCUGGUUUAAAUUAUACGGAGAACUGUUGGCUUCGUGACUCUGUAUACACGUUAUUGUUCUUCUGUAUUCCUCUACUGGUAAUGCAACAUCAUGGCUGAAGCACUUACUGUUCUCUUAGGAUGUGUUUGAUCUGACCUCUUUAUUUAAAAUGCGGUAGUACUGUAGUCAUCAGUGUAUUGUAGCACUGUCUGAGCUAGUUUAAAACAGUCUAGUUCAUAUUCGAGAAGUAGUUCAGCUAGGAUAUCUUAGAGCUAUCUCUCCCUGAGCAUGGUGUUGCAGUGACAAGCAUGAGAAGUAGACCAUUUCAGUUUAUUACCACAUCUCCACGCUACACUCCUGUCUUGAAAGAGAGCAUUUCUGUAAUUUCUGCAGCAAACUGGUCCAAUUUAAGGUACAGCUUGAAAAUCUGUAUCACUAAUAAAAUUUUGAAGUGCCUACUGUCA